CCGGCACGGGUGAGUAACACGUAUCCAACCUGCCGUCUACUCUUGGCCAGCCUUCUGAAAGGAAGAUUAAUCCAGGAUGGCAUCAUGAGUUCACAUGUCCGCAUGAUUAAAGGUAUUUUCCGGUAGACGAUGGGGAUGCGUUCCAUUAGAUAGUAGGCGGGGUAACGGCCCACCUAGUCAACGAUGGAUAGGGGUUCUGAGAGGAAGGUCCCCCACAUUGGGACUGAGACACGGCCAA
rnacentral:rRNA from 1 species